rnacentral:hammerhead_ribozyme from 1 species
CAUUGCUGAAGAGUCUCACACCAGGACUAAACGGCCGUCCAGAGC